AUGAAGGAUCUGUGCCAGCAGACUGAGGAAUCUCCACUGGAGCCAGGAAGCGACCCUCCAGAUUGGUGUCCCUUCGAGGAAUCAUCCUCCUCAUCAUCACCGUUAUCCUGGCUGUCACUCUGGCCAUCAGCAAGGACCACCACCAGCAGCAACAAUCACCAUUGUUGUCAAAGUGGAUACUACGGGGCUAGAUCAGUGGUUCUCAAAAUGUAGUUCUGCACCAGAAGCAUUAGAUUCACUUAGCAACUUGUCAGAAAUCAAGCAAGCCCAGUAGGUGGUUGUGAUGUACAAUGAAUCUUGAACACCACUGUGCUAGACUGUGCCAAGGGCUUUUAAUGUUUUAUCUCAUUUGUUCCUCAGAAUUGCUCUCUGUGAUAAGCACCAUUAUAUUCAUUUUGAGAAAAUUGAGACGUAGUGAGGUUAAGUAACUUCACCAAGGUCACACAGCUUGUAAGGGGUAUAACGAGGUCCUGGAACACAUUUGUUUUACUGCACUGUACCACAUUUUCAGCGGGAGCAAAAUUUGUCUCUGCUUAUCUGCACAAAUUCUCUGAAAAUAAAAGUAAAUUUUCC
rnacentral:lncRNA from 1 species